GGCGCGGCGGACAGUCAAAAAUAUGUUUGUAGAAUAGAUGAGGCGGAGGUAUAUAAUGUGCAUGACUUGCAAAGUUUAAUGAGACCGCUUUUAUACUUCGGGUGCGAUGCAGGUGGGUUUAAGCGCUGCAUUGAUUCUGAUCGUUGCCUCGUCUUUUGGUAAAGCAUAUGUGCUAGACAGAGCGGGUCACCCUCUUGCGUGGACACAUGGAUGUCAUGUUAACUGCCCACCUGGAUAUCACUGCGUAAUAGAACCAGCACUUUCAUGCGUCCCAUCGCAACCUUUUCACCAUGGCUUCGGACACAGCUAUGGCAGUGGCUUCGCGCACGGUUAUUUAAACCCUUACCAUGGCGUGGCAAGUCACACACAAUUCUCUCCACUCAGAAGGUUUGGGGGUAAUACGGGAUUCAGGUUCAAACGCCAAGCUGAGUACGCAACUCGCCCAGACGCUGCUCCUCAGUUUAGUGGAAAUGCUAACACCGACAAUGGCCCCGCACCGUCAUAGUUUGCGCUUGGACCCUGAAUUACAAAGAAUACUCUAGCAUUAGCUAGUUAGCCAGUCAUUGUACUUUGUCGCAGUAGAUUCCAGUACAUUGUGCUGCCUGAGCAAGAAUAGAAAAAUAAACAGGCUCGAAUGUCUAGCA